rnacentral:rRNA from 1 species
UGAGGAAUAUUGGUCAAUGGGCGGAAGCCUGAACCAGCCAAGUAGCGUGAAAGAUGACUGCCCUAUGGGUUGUAAACUUCUUUUACAAGGGAAUAAUUGUGGGUACGCGUACCCAUUUGCAUGUACCUUAUGAAUAAGGAUCGGCUAACUCCGUGCCAGCAGCCGCGGUAAUACGGAGGAUCCGAGCGUUAUCCGGAUUUAUUGGGUUUAAAGGGAGCGUAGGCGGGCGCUUAAGUCAGCUGUGAAAGUUUGGGGCUCAACCUUAAAAUUGCAGUUGAUACUGGGUGCCUUGAGUGCAGUAUAGGCAGGCGGAAUUCGUGGUGUAGCGGUGAAAUGCAUAGAUAUCACGAGGAACUCCGAUUGCGAAGGCAGCUUGCCAUACUGCGACUGACACUGAAGCACGAAGGCGUGGGUAUCAAACAGGAUUAGAUACCCAGGUAGUCCACGCAGUAAACGAUGAUUACUAGGAGUUUGCGAUAUACCGUCAAGCUUCCACAGCGAAAGCGUUAAGUAAUCCACCUGGGGAGUACGCCGGCAACGGUG